rnacentral:tRNA from 1 species
GUCUUCGUGGUGUAGUGGUCAGCACACUCGGCGCGUAUUCGAGAGGUCCGUAGUUCGAAUCCCGGCGAGGACA